AACGCACCUUGCGCUCCUAGGUUUUCCGAGGAGCAUGCCUGUUUGAGUGUCCAGAAUGAUCUCAUUCAACACUUUGGUGGUGAAUGGACUUGGAGGUUUGCAGUGAUUUAUACAUAGCUCCUCCUAAAUAUAUUAGCCAGCUGGUGAUGAACUGCUGUCGGCUUGAUAACACUGUCUAUGCCCACGGCUGUACAUGUGCAGCAGCUUUCUAGUCGUCCUUGGACAAUUUAUUUGAGCUCGGGCCUCAAAUCAGGUAGGACUACCCGCUGAACUUAA
rnacentral:misc_RNA from 1 species